rnacentral:rRNA from 1 species
GCUUACGGCCAUAUCACCCUGAGAACGCCCGAUCUCGUCUGAUCUCGGAAGCUAAGCAGGGUCGGGCCUGGUUAGUACUUGGAUGGGAGACCGCCUGGGAAUACCAGGUGCUGUAAGCU